rnacentral:rRNA from 1 species
UACAGAGGGUGCGAGCGUUAAUCGGAAUUACUGGGCGUAAAGCGUGCGUAGACGGUCAAGUAAGUCGGGUGUGAAAGCCCCGGGCUCAACCUGGGAAUUGCAUUUGAGACUGCGUAGCUAGGGUGCGGAAGAGGGAAGCGGAAUUUCCGGUGUAGCGGUGAAAUGCGUAGAUAUCGGAAGGAACACCAGUGGCGAAAGCGGCUUCCUGGUCCAGCACCGACGUCAGGCACGAAAGCGUGGGGAGCAAACAGG